UUCGCGUGUAGCAGUGAAAUGCGUAGAGAUGUGGAGGAAUACCGAUGACGAAGGCAGCCCCCUGGGCCAAUACUGACGCUCAUGCACGAAAGCGUGGGGAGCAAACAGGAUUAGAUACCCUGGUAGUCCACGCCCUAAACGAUGUCAACUAGUUGUCGGGUCUUCAUUGACUUGGUAACGUAGCUAACGCGUGAAGUUGACCGCCUGGGGAGUACGGUCGCAAGAUUAAAACUCAAAGGAAUUGACGGGGACCCGCACAAGCGGUGGAUGAUGUGGAUUAAUUCGAUGCAACGCGAAAAACCUUACCUACCCUUGACAUGUAUGGAAUCCUGCUGAGAGGUGGGAGUGCCCGAAAGGGAGCCAUAACACAGGUGCUGCAUGGCUGUCGUCAGCU
rnacentral:rRNA from 1 species